CUGCUCCUCCUGAAGCCUAGAGGAGAGCAAGUGGCGCUCUUCCUGGUGUUUGAUUGGGGCUGUGUACGCACGUGCGCACGCACACUCCAACAAGCACCUUUUCUCUCUUCCUCUUGAAGGGGGGGGGUCCGGACCCCAGAACCCCCCCCCCCCUUAGCUAGGUCCUUGGGCAUAAUGCUAUUUUCGGGCAGUGGUAAAAGCCAUUUUGAACACAAUUCACAUUCACAUAAAUUGGCUGAAUUCCCACUUUUUUCAUUCGAAAUCAAAGAGAAAUUCUUCCCAUGUGAUAAACCCCAUUGAAAAGGGAACCCUUUGGGGAAGAAGGCGCAGCAAAAGGGAGGAACGCAGAGGAAGAGCCGGCCUUGUGGGGUCUUGGGAUUUCUAGUGCCCCAUCUUUUCUCUCUCUGCAAACAUGGGGGAAGGUUUCGGGAAGCUAUGCCAUCGGCUUUGAUCUCUCCCAGGAAAGGAUGGGUCCCUUCUUCACCCAACGCCCCAUCGCCUCCGGAAGGUAAGGGCCCUCCCUCCCUCUCUGGGGCUCCCCUGAGAUGCCUAGGCCAAUGCCCCCCUCUUUCCAGGGGUGUCACUUGGAGGGUGCAAGGGGUGCAGAGCGCACCAGGGGAGGGGUGGCCCCACUUCUGCUCAAACACCAGCAGUUUGGCAGAAACAUUGGGCCGUUUGCCUGGAUCUCUUUAAAAUGCUUUGAGGGUUGGUGGCAGAGAGGUCAACCUCAGCAGGAGAAGAAGGAGGAGGAAGACAUGUUGGCUUUUAAAGAGUGUUCUUUUACCAUUUUCUUUACAAACAGUACGUUUUAACAACCCUUCA